UUAAUACUUUUUUGUGUUUCUUCUUUUUUGGUUGAAGAGAAGAAAAUUAAUGAGUGCGUUGGAUGCUUUGUGGUGUCAAAUGUACGCGCGUUAUAUUUACUGCGUGUUUUGACAGCGUAUCCCGUUCAUCAGUUUUGCUGGUGUUCAAAAUAAUAUACACCCUGGUAUGUUGAUUUAUGCAUUAAUAUUCCAUGCUUAUUAUGUGAAUGUGUCAUCAAUAUCGGCACUUUGGCAGGAUGGUGUUUUUGAGGGUGCAAUACUUACCAUAUUUUAUUGAAAAUUCGACAUACUACACAUACAACAUUUUUUGGUUUUCUGGCAACUUUACAAUAGAUGUAGAUUGUUAGCAGAGUGUUUUCAAAAUAUUGAUGAAUUAUUUGACAGAUAAGUAAUGUUUUGGAAUAUUUUAAAGCUUUGGAUUCAAUUACACUAAAUUGGUGCCGUUGUAAACAUAACAAAUAAAGCAAAAUAAUUUGCAUGUUUUA